rnacentral:rRNA from 1 species
CCUACGGGAGACAGCAGUGGGGAAUAUUGCACAAUGGGGGAAACCCUGAUGCAGCGACGCCGCGUGAGUGAAGAAGUAUUUCGGUACGUAAAGCUCUAUCAGCAGGGAAGAAAAUGACGGUACCUGACUAAGAAGCCCCGGCUAACUACGUGCCAGCAGCCGCGGUAAUACGUAGGGGGCAAGCGUUAUCCGGAUUUACUGGGUGUAAAGGGAGCGUAGACGGCAGCGCAAGUCUGGAGUGAAAUCCCAUGGCUUAACCAUGGAACUGCUUUGGAAACUGUGCAGCUAGAGUGCAGGAGAGGUAAGCGGAAUUCCUAGUGGAGCGGUGAAAUGCGUAGAUAUUAGGAGGAACACCAGUGGCGAAGGCGGCUUACUGGACUGUAACUGACGUUGAGGCUCGAAAGCGUGGGGAGCAAACAGGAUUAGAUACCCUAGUAGUC